AACGAACGCUGGCGGCAUGCCUAACACAUGCAAAUCGAACGAGAUCUUCGGGUCUAGUGGCGCACGGGUGCGUAACGCGUGGGAAUCUGCCCUUUGGUUCGGAAUAAAAGGUGGAAACGUCUGCUAAUACCGGAUGUGUACGAAAGUCCAAAGAUUAAUCGUCAAAGUAUGAGCCCGCGUAGGAUUAGCUAGUUGGUGUGGCAAGGGCGCACCAAGACGACGAUCCUUAGCUAGUCUGAGAGGCUGAUCAGCAACACGGUGACUGAGACACCGCCCAGAAUCCGCCUGGAGACCGAAGUCGGGAAUAAUGGAACGUGCUCGAUAGCGUGAUCCGUCAAUGCAGCGAUAGUGAUUAUUGCCAUAGGGUUGUAAACAUUUUUUACCCAGCAUGAUAAUGUCAAUACCGGGAGAAUAAGCACCGGCUAACUCCGUGCAAGUAGCCUCCGUAA
rnacentral:rRNA from 1 species